ACACCGACUCUGUCGCUCUUUAUACUACGUCACCUGGCUUCCUCCUUCCCUCCCCUCACAAUCACUACGGCCACUGAGGUCGCCUAAAAAUAAAACGUAACUGUGGGUUGUAAUAAGCCGUUUGCUCAGACGACCUAUGGGGUCGUUUUAAACCGGAUGACGGUCUGACAUAUUUUCACCUUUUAACCUGUUAGCAAACGUCGGCUUAUUUACACAUCAAGCAGUUAUGGAGAAGCAUUAUCAUUCAUUUGAAGUCGUGAUUCUGUUCACCUGGGUAAAAGAAUAGUCACAUUGGAAGUGACUGUGAUGCUCAGCGUUUCACUCGCUCCGCUAUCUGCCACAGUGCCGCAUUUCCCCGAUAUUCGUCCCAGUGGCACACACUGUGGCACAGAGGCUGGUGUAGCCCAGCAAUCAUCUGACUUUUUACAAUAAUCAUACCAUUGUCCUAAAAUGUAUGCAGAUAUAUUUUAUUGAAAUUUAUUUUAUCUUUCUACAUGAUAUACAUCAUAUCAUAAAAAACCUGA